rnacentral:tRNA from 1 species
GAGGGUACAGCUCAGUGGUGGAGCAUGUACUUUGCAUGCACAGGUCCUAGGUUCAAUCCCCAGUGCCUCCA